rnacentral:rRNA from 1 species
CAAUAGCGUAUAUUAAAGUUGUUGCGGUUAAAAAACUCGUAGUUGGAUUUCUGCUGAAAACGACCGGUCCGCCCUUUGGGUGUGUAUCUGGCUCUUUCUUGGCAUCUUCUUGGUGAACGUUGCUGCACUUGACUGUGUGGAGCGCUACCCAGGACUUUUACUUUGAGGAAAUUAGAGUGUUUCAAGCAGGCAUACGCCUUGAAUACAUUAGCAUGGAAUAAUAAGAUAGGACCUCGGUUCUAUUUUGUUGGUUUCUAGAGCUGAGGUAAUGAUUAAUAGGGAUAGUUGGGGGCAUUCGUAUUUAACUGUCAGAGGUGAAAUUCUUGGAUCUGCUAAAGACGGACAACUGCGAAAGCGUUUGCCCAGGAUGUUUUCAUUGA